rnacentral:rRNA from 1 species
UACGUAGGGGGGCAAGCGUUGUCCGGAAUUAUUGGGCGUAAAGAGCGUGUAGGCGGCCAGAUAAGUCCGCUGUGAAAUCUCGAGGCUCAACUUCGAGCUGUCGGUGGAAACUAUCUGGCUAGAGUCCGGAAGAGGAGAAUGGAAUUCCUGGUGUAGCGGUGAAAUGCGCAGAUAUCAGGAGGAACACCGGUGGCGAAGGCGGGUCUCUGGGCCGAUACUGACGCUGAGGAGCGAAAGCGUGGGGAGCGAACAGG